rfam:Oryzias latipes DNA, scaffold2471, strain: Hd-rR.
CCUUCGAUAGCUCAGAUGGUAGAGCGGAGGACUGUAGAUGAAGCGGGACAGGUAUCCUUAGGUCGCUGGUUCAAUUCCGGCUCGAAGGA